AACAAAAACAUGUCCUUUAGAUAAGAAUUUAAGGUCUGACCUGCCCACUGAGGAAUUAAAUGGCCGCAGUAUUUUGACUGUGCAAAGGUAGCAUAAUCAUUAGUUUUUUAAUUGAAAGCUAGAAUGAAUGGUUGGACGAGAUAUAAUCUGUCUUUAAGUUAUAAUUAGAAUUUAAUUUUUAAGUUAAAAAGCUUAAAUAAUUUUAAAAGACGAGAAGACCCUAUAGAUCUUUAUAUGUUUAUUUAUAUAGUUUUUAUGGAUGAAUAAUUUUUAUAUAAAUUUUUGUAUUUUAUUGGGGUAAUAAAAAGAUUUAUUAAAUUCUUUUUUUAUUUUACAUUGAUAAAUGAUUUUUAUGAUCCAUUAUUAUUGAUUAUAAGAUUAAGUUACCUUAGGGAUAACAGCGUAAUUUUUUUAAAGAGUUCAUAUCGAUAAAAAAGUUUGCGACCUCGAUGUUG
rnacentral:rRNA from 1 species